UGAGCAAGAGAGAUCCAAGUAAAAUGGAUUAAAGAACAGAACAGCCCUGUGACAUUCAGCUAUUCACCAUUAAACUAACUUACAUUGAGAAGCUGAAUGUCUUCAGUGACGUUAAACUGACCUGUGAUCAAGCAGCAGUGCACAUUAAGAGCCAGGCUCAGCACACAGAGAGGCAGAUGAAGGAGGAGUUUGAGAAGCUUCAUCUGUACCUACAAGAGGAAGAGGUCAGGAUAGUUGCACUAAGGGAGGAAGAGAAGCAGAAGAGUCAGAAGAUGAAGGAGAAGAUUGAGGAGAUGAGCAGAGAGAGAUCAUCACUUUCAGACACAAUCAGAGCCAUAGAAGAGGAUAAAAAUGUAUUUUGUUUCUCUGCAGCGCUACAGGGCCAUCUUGGAAAGAACCUAGUGCACACUGCUGGACCGUGAGAGGGUUUCAGGAGGACUGAUCGAUGUGGUAAAGCACAUGAGAACCCUGCACUAUAGGGUCUGGGAGAAGAUGCAGGCUAUAAUUCAAUACAGUGAAUAUUAGAUACAAUUGGGAUAAAACUUUACCGCCACUAAGAGGUUCCAACACAGAAAACAAGAAAUUUGCUUAGUGAAUUAAAUUUAUGCUGAAUAAUAAAAUUA